rnacentral:rRNA from 1 species
AAACGAUGUGGGAAGGCACAGACAGCCAGGAUGUUGGCUUAGAAGCAGCCAUCAUUUAAAGAAAGCGUAAUAGCUCACUAGUCGAGUCGGCCUGCGCGGAAGAUGUAACGGGGCUAAACCAUGCACCGAAGCUGCGGCAGCGACACUAUGUGUUGUUGGGUAGGGGAGCGUUCUGUAAGCCUGCGAAGGUGUGCUGUGAGGCAUGCUGGAGGUAUCAGAAGUGCGAAUGCUGACAUAAGUAACGAUAAAGCGGGUGAAAAGCCCGCUCGCCGGAAGACCAAGGGUUCCUGUCCAACGUUAAUCGGGGCAGGGUGAGUC